AGCUGAUACUCAAAGGAGUAAUUAUGAAAGAAGAGCCCCAGGGUAGACUUAGCAAAGGAGUCCCAUGAUCUCAUGAUGCAAGCAUCCAGGUGUGUCCUGUGAGGCACCAUCACGCAAAUGCUACACAUGCCGAAUUCAUUUGAAUCAAAGGCAACGCUUAUCCAUUUCCCAACUGGCCAGACUUGAUAGCCAAAUCGACAAGUUAAACCAUGCAGGAACCAUGAGAGAGAGAGAUAUCACGUUCUGUUCUCUACACUUCAACAUGGGAGAGGGUAAAUUGACAUAUCUUCAACACAGGAAUGGUAGACAAGAGAGGAAGAGGAGGUCAGAAUACUAAACCCCUUUAAAGCUGGAUCAAGCUGUUCCUGACAAUACAGAAUACAUGAAGAGCCUCUGUAAUGAUGUUUGGAUGAUAUGUGAAGGAGGGAUCUCCAUUACCUGCCUGCUACACAUCGUAGGGUUCUCCGGGUCAAAGGUCUUUGUGAAUGUGUGCCGACAUACUACAAAGACAAUUUGCCUGGUCAGUAUGGGUUUCUUCUCAUCUCUAACACUCAAUGACAGCGUAGCAUCUUUGUGCCAGUGCAGCUCUGCCUUAUUUUUAUUGGUAUAGUAAGUUUGUGUCCAAAUAUACUCAAUUAUAGAAGCUUUCCUGUUACCAAUAGUAUGGCAGUGCUUAAGAGUAAAGUUGUUUUUGCUCGUUGGCAGCGCUGAUCCCAAGCAGAUGACAAGAGCUCUGAAGUGGCUGCAU
rnacentral:lncRNA from 1 species